rnacentral:rRNA from 1 species
GUGGGGAAUCUUAGACAAUGGGCGCAAGCCUGAUCUAGCCAUGCCGCGUGAGCGAUGAAGGCCUUAGGGUUGUAAAGCUCUUUCAGCUGGGAAGAUAAUGACGGUACCAGCAGAAGAAGCCCCGGCUAACUCCGUGCCAGCAGCCGCGGUAAUACGGAGGGGGCUAGCGUUGUUCGGAAUUACUGGGCGUAAAGCGCACGUAGGCGGAUCAGAAAGUCAGAGGUGAAAUCCCAGGGCUCAACCUUGGAACUGCCUUUGAAACUCCUGAUCUUGAGGUCGAGAGAGGUGAGUGGAAUUCCGAGUGUAGAGGUGAAAUUCGUAGAUAUUCGGAGGAACACCAGUGGCGAAGGCGGCUCACUGGCUCGAUACUGACGCUGAGGUGCGAAAGCGUGGGGAGCAAACAGGAUUAGAAACCCCGGUAGUCC